AUUGAACGCUGGCGGCAUGCCUUACACAUGCAAGUCGAACGGCAGCACGGGGCAACCUGGUGGCGAGUGGCGAACGGGUGAGUAAUGCAUCGGAACGUACCUUUCAGUGGGGGAUAACGUAGCGAAAGUUACGCUAAUACCGCAUAUUCUGUGAGCAGGAAAGCAGGGGAUCGCAAGACCUUGCGCUGAUUGAGCGGCCGAUGUCAGAUUAGCUAGUUGGUGAGGUAAAGGCUCACCAAGGCGACGAUCUGUAGCGGGUCUGAGAGGAUGAUUCACCAAACUGGAACUGAGACACGGUCCAGACUCCUACGGGAGGCAGCAGUGGGGAAUUUUGGACAAUGGGGGCAACCCUGAUCCAGCCAUGCCGCGUGAGUGAAGAAGGCCUUCGGGUUGUAAAGCUCUUUCGGCCGGGAAGAAAUCGCACGGGCUAAUACCCUGUGUGGAUGACGGUACCGGAAUAAGAAGCACCGGCUAACUACGUGCCAGCCGCCGCAGUAA
rnacentral:rRNA from 1 species